ACUGUUUUGGCAGAAAAGUGCAACGGAUUUAGAAUUUGUAAAUGUAAUUAUGAAAUUACAAACAGUA
rnacentral:tRNA from 2 species